UCAACAUUAUGGUCAAAAUAUUCUAUGUUGAAAGCUGUUAUAAAGUUAAAACAUGACAUAGAUAUAAAAACUUACACCAGAUUGACUGCUUUCUUAAAAAGGCAAAGUGCAGGAUUUCAGAGUAAAAAAUCGAAGGUACUAACAGCUGAACAAAUUGAGACGUUUAUUAAUGAAGCUCCAGAUCAGCAACAUCUAGCUACAAAGGUUGCUCUUAUAUUUGGAGUCUGUGGCGCAUGCAGACGCGAAGAGCUCACAAAUGUAUCAGUAAAAGAUAUAGAAACACAUGGGGACAUACUUCUUGUCAAAAUACCAAAUACAAAAAAUAAAAUUCCCAGGUCCUUCACUAUUGACGGCCCAUUUGCAGAAAUAGU